AUGGGCAGACUCAGACUCCACCUGUUGUAAUUUUUGCUGGUUUAUUAGGUUGUCGGUUUCUUUAUCCUGGGGAUUGGGACGUGCAUUCCCCACUCGACCCUGUUUCCAGAAACUGCCGCAAUGCGCUCCUCGUAGCUGCACAAAUCCGGCGACCUUAAGCUCCCGGCCGCUGCCGCCCGGAGAUUCGGCGCCGUAUUCGCGUCCUGCUCGUCGACCCCAGCUCCCCAGUUCAAUUCCUUCCACUCCCUCGCUGACGUUCGCGAAUCCCAUGCGGCGCCGUGGGGAGCUGCGCGUGGAGCGCUCUGCCCGGUUGACGACGACGCGUCCACGAGCGACUACGCCGCCCACCACAAGUAUUUGCUUUCCUCCAUACAGCCUCUGAUUCGCCUCGCUCGCGAGCGCGGUAUUCCCAUGAUGAGCUCGUCGUCGCCGCGCAUCCUCUCAAUCCUCGUCCCUGGACGCCCUCUGCCAGAACUCUCUUCCGCGCUGCUGUAAAGGGAACGGCGGGUGGCGUAACUGGCCACCAGAGCGAUCUCCAAUUUCGUGGAUCCUCUCUUAGCUUCAAGGAACCUACGAAGAAAUAAUUCCCAAGCAGAUUUUAAAUAGCAAGAUCACUAGCACACAUGCUGAUGUGCACCCAAUUUCACUGAGGACUCUGCGAUGCAUCUACAUCCCAUACUAUACUCAGAAUACUCUUUAGUUGGGCGGACAGAGGGAGGUGGAUGGCUUUUGGUGCAACAUAAAAUGGCUGACAGCGGGAAACAUGGAUGCAGCAGAGGAUUGGAAGAUGCAGUACAAUGGCCGAUACUGGAGCUCCCGUCCCCACCAAAGGCCUCAGGCACCCAAUGGCAGUGGCGCCUUGGCUCUUACCGGUGACUGCAGCAGCAGCGUACCAGAUAUCAGCUCCCUAGACAAGUCUCUUCAGCACUGCUUCCUUGUGGACUAGCUGACUAUCACAAUGCACCAGAUAUCAGCUCCCUAGACAAGUCUCUUCAGCACUGCUUCCUUGUGGACUAGCUGACUAUCACAAUGCGGCAGAGAAAAUUCUAGUGACGGUCAAAACAUAAGCUACGGCAUGAGCUAGCGUGCAAGACACUGGCAUAAUUGUGUUGGUUAGGUGUGGUCUUUCUCAGGGUAGAUAAGCUCUGGGAGUAAUCAGCGACCUGAAGCAAACUUUAAUUAGUGACUCUAAAAGCCCUCUUUUCAAAAGCUGGAAUUUUGUUGUACCUGAGUGAAAAUUAUGGUGUUUGCUACGGAAUUCUUACAUUCUGGACAACCAAUUCAGUUAGCACUGAAUCCUUCGGUGAACAAUAGAACAACAUAUGUUUUCCCAAA